AUGCUUUUUUGAAGACCUGUGUUACAGGUGCUCCGUCAAUUUGUAAGACGUGAGUCUGAAGUGGCCAGCAGUUUAGUUCUCGAAAGAUCACUGAAUCGUGUGCAGUUGCUUGGGCGAGUGGGUCAGGACCCUGUCAUGAGACAGGUGGAAGGAAAAAAUCCAGUCACCAUAUUUUCUCUAGCAACAAAUGAGAUGUGGAAGUCAGGGGACAAUGAAACGUAUCAGAUUGGUGAUGUCAGUCAAAAGACAACAUGGCACCGAAUAUCAGUGUUUCGGCCAGGUCUUAGAGAUGUAGCAUAUCAGUAUGUGAAGAAGGGGUCUCGAGUUUUCGUGGAAGGAAAAGUAGAUUAUGGUGAAUACAUGGAUAAAAACAAUGUGAGGCGACAAGCAACAACAAUCAUAGCAGACAACAUUAUCUUUUUGAGUGACCAGACAAAAGAAAAAGAAUGAACAGACGAUUCUUG